rnacentral:rRNA from 1 species
UACGGGGGGGGGCAAGCGUUGUUCGGAAUUCUGGGCGUAAAGGGCUCGUAGGCGGCCAACUAAGUCAAACGUGAAAUCCCUCGGCUUAACCGGGGAACUGCGUCUGAUACUGGAUGGCUUGAGUUGGGAGAGGGAUGCGGAAUUCCAGGUGUAGCGGUGGAAAUGCGUAGAGAUCAUGAGGAAGACCAGUGGCGAAGGCGGGU